UGGGGAGUCGUCUAACGGUAGGACAUCGGUUUUUGGUACCGCGAAUCAGGGUUCGAUUCCUUGCUCCCCAACCA
rnacentral:tRNA from 1 species